UUGAAAGCCUUGGAACCAACUUCAUGUAUGCACUACCAGAUUGAAUAUACCAUAUAGGAACUUUAAUGGUUCUGAAAAAUAUUUUUCUACCUUUGCCUCUUAAUUUGUCACUUUUUCAAACUAAGGGUAAUUUGUGUCCAAAAAAUAUUUUUUACAACUAAUGAUGUCAUAUAUUUCAGAUUCAAAUACAUGGUUGUAUUUAUUUGCCUUUGAUAAUCCAGUUGGAAUGGUUUGAUGAUGUCACAUAGGGUUGUUUGGUUACAAAUUAACUAAUGUAACCCCACUUUAUUUUGAUUUAACGAAUACCAAUUCAUCACAUCCCUUUUCCAUAUUUCUCUCUUCCCAACAUCAUCUCUCUCUUCCUCUUCUUUCUUCUCUUUUCCCUCUCUUCCUCUUCCUCUUCUCUCUUCCAUCUCUUCCUCUUCUUAUUUCUAAUCUCUUCUUUCUGCUUCAGAUUUGGUUGCUUCUAUUUUGUAGAGAUACUGUUUUGCAGAGAUUUGGUUUCUUCUCACAAGUGGAAGCUUUCAUGAUUUAACAGAGAUACUGUUUUGCAGAACAAGAGAGAAGGAAGAAAGAGAAACAGAAACAGAAACAAAAGAACAAGAAAAAUGAAAGAGGGAAGAAAGGGGGUGUGCCUAAUUUGUGGGGGAAAGUAUGGUACUAUUAGAGAAACUGAUAUGUGAAAAGCAAAGGAGUCAAUUAAUCUCCUUGUCUGACUGACUCCUCUUGAGCAUGCAAAGCAACCUUCAUGAUUACCAUUAACAAAAAUCUUGAGCAAAAUCCAAAAGCAUAAAGCACUUUGAACAUGAAGUUACAGUCUAUGACCAUAACUUGAACGACGAGAAUCGGAUUCAUGCAUUCUGAUAUACAUUGGAAAUAUAAGAGAAAGAGCUACAAGUUUUGUAUUGAAGCCAAAAGCUGUUUCAAAGUGCAUAAAUCUCAAAUAAUUCGUUAAAGUUCCAAACUUAAGAAAUAUUUAGUGUUUGGGCCAAUUUUAUGUUUUCCGACCUGGUUUUAAUUAGAAUUACGAAUCCUUAUUUUGUUUAAGAGCAUUCAGCCGCGGUAGUGUUCAUUCUCUCUGAAUUUUACUGUUCACAAAAAUUUCUAAAGCUUUUUUCAUUUGUAAUGGAGAACUAAUCCCAAGGCAAAAUAUGUUGAUUACAAGUUCCAUCAUACU